rnacentral:rRNA from 1 species
CCCUUAGAUGUUCUGGGCCGCACGCGUGCUACACUGAGUAAUUCAAUGGGUAAGGGAACGCUAGAGCAUUACCUAAUCUUGAAAUUUGCUCGUGAUGGGGACCGACGGUUGCAAUUUUCCGUCGUGAACGAGGAAUACCUUGUAGGCGCAUGUCAUCAUCAUGCGCCGAAUACGUCCCUGCCCUUUGUACACACCGCCCGUCGCUCCUACCGAUUGAGUGAUCCGGUGAGGCUCUGGGACCUGGACGGAAAGAGCGUUUCGCUUGUUCUGUUUGGGAAACUUGGUCGAACCUUAUCAUUUAGAGGAAGGAGAAGUCGUAACA